rnacentral:rRNA from 1 species
CCUACGGGAGGCAGCAGUGAGGAAUAUUGGACAAUGGGCGCAAGCCUGAUCCAGCCAUGCCGCGUGCAGGAUGACGGUCCUAUGGAUUGUAAACUGCUUUUGUACAGGAAGAAACACCUCUACGUGUAGAGACUUGACGGUACUGUAAGAAUAAGGAUCGGCUAACUCCGUGCCAGCAGCCGCGGUAAUACGGAGGAUCCAAGCGUUAUCCGGAAUCAUUGGGUUUAAAGGGUCCGUAGGCGGUUUAGUAAGUCAGUGGUGAAAGCCCAUCGCUCAACGGUGGAACGGCCAUUGAUACUGCUAAACUUGAAUUAUUAGGAAGUAACUAGAAUAUGUAGUGUAGCGGUGAAAUGCUUAGAGAUUACAUGGAAUACCAAUUGCGAAGGCAGGUUACUACUAAUGGAUUGACGCUGAUGGACGAAAGCGUGGGUAGCGAACAGGAUUAGAUACCCUGGUAGUCCACGCCGUAAACGAUGGAUACUAGCUGUUGGGUAGGNGAUACUCUAGUGGUCGUAGACGAAGUAGAGUAAGUAAGUACCGACCGUCGGGUAAGGUACGGUUCGUUCGAAGUAAGUUAGUUAAACGUAACGAAGAGUUAGUAGGACGGNGAGAGAGCGACGACGACGACGACGGAGGAGGAGG